rnacentral:miRNA from 1 species
CGCUGUGUUUGUGAUGGGCCAG